rnacentral:rRNA from 1 species
CGCGUAGGCGGACCUGCAAGUCGGGGGUGAAAGCCCGAGGCUCAACCUCGGAACUGCCUUCGAUACUGCGGGUCUCGAGUCCGGGAGAGGUGAGUGGAAUUCCUAGUGUAGAGGUGAAAUUCGUAGAUAUUAGGAAGAACACCGGUGGCGAAGGCGGCGACCUGGUCCGAUACUGACGCUGAGGCGCGAAAGCGUGGGGAGCAAACA